UACGAGAGGCGCAAACGUUAUUCGGAAUUACUGGGCGUAAAGGGUUCGUAGGUGGCUUGCUAAGUCAGACGUGAAAUCCCUCAGCUUAACUGGGGAACUGCGUCUGAUACUGGCGAGCUUGAGUGCAGGAGAGGAACGCAGAAUUCCAGGUGUAGCGGUGAAAUGCGUAGAUAUCUGGAGGAAUACCGGUGGCGAAGGCGGCGUUCUGGACUGCAACUGACACUGAUGAACGAAAGCCAGGGGAGCAAACGGG
rnacentral:rRNA from 1 species